GAUUCUCGUAAUGAUGAUGGCAUUAAGAGCUUCUUCCAAGAGGUGCAUGAGCUUUACAUAAAGGUAAUCUUUCCUUUACUGCACUCUAUAACGUGGUUAAUAUGCUGCCUUUCUUUAAUUAUUUGUUAACUUUCAUUCUAUCUGUUAGGAUAUAGAAUAAUGGCUAAUUAGAAUAGUUAAUGUAGUUAAGAGUUGUAAAGUUAGUUAGUUACUUACUAUUAGUUGGUUAUUUGGAUUAGUUAGAAAGUAUAAAUAAAAGAACACAAAGGGUAGAUGUCAUCUUUUGAAUAUUGUGAAGUUUGUGAAUACAAUAGCAUAAAUGAAUUGAUAGAGUUCAUGAUUCAUGAUAAAGUCCAUGCUUGCCAAUUCUUGAAGUAUGCUUUGAUGGCUAGACAAAUACAACAAUAGCUGCUGUAAUAUUUUUUUUCUGGUUUCAUCAAUGUUAAAUGAACCAUGUUGUACAUGUUACCUCCUUAUUAGUAAUUAGCAUUUAUAUGUUUCAAAUAGCAGGCAUAUGCCUAUUUGCCAGGGUCGGAUGUAGGUUGUGGGAUUUGUGGGCUUGUGCCCACACAAAAUUUUUAGAAACAAUUUUUUUGGUAGUAUAAUGUAUCAAUAGUUGACAUUUUGAUCACAUGGAUCACACUUAUCAGAAAUCAUUUCUCUCUUGGCCCACACUUAUCAUCAUAUAUCUCAAACUAUUAUUAACAAUUAGAUGCGAAAUCAAGUAGGGGAUGACUGGUUAAAUGGUUGUUUAAUUAUUUUAGAGACAUAUUAUUCAAAGUUUCAAUAAUAUGAAUAAUCGUAGAGGACAAUUAUUAAUGCUACAAAUUUUUAUAUAUAGUGCCCCCACUAUUCAAAAAUCCUGGAUCCGUCACUGCUAUUUGCCCAGCAUAUACCUGGUACAUAUUUUGAGUAGAACGACAAAGUUGUGUUUUCAAUUUUUUUAAUAAAAGUUUGUUGAAUUCCAUUUUAGGUGUGUUAUGAUGUUGACUUGGCCGUUUUAGAUAUAUACACUCUUCUUACUAUCAAUAUUUCACCGUAGGAGACAUGUUUAGUUGCCUUGUAUAUGACUACACCUCUUCUUAAUAUAUCAAUAUUUCAUCGUAGGAGACAUGAUUAGUUGCUUUGUAUAUGACUACCCCCCUUCUUACUAUCAGUAUUACACCGUAGGAGACAUGAUUAGUUGCCUUGUAUUCGACUAGUACAUCAUUUUGAACUAGAAUAUCGAAAACCACAUUUUAAUUUUUUAACAAAAGUUCCCCGAAUUCCAUUCUGUUUUGCAUUAUAGGAUUUGUAUUAAUUUUAUUUGUAUGUUUGGAAAAUUGCAGACUCUUCUUAAUCCUCUAUACUUGCCUGGCUCCCGAAUCACAUCAUCACAUUUUGAUACAAAAGUACGUGCCCUUGCACGAAAGUAUUUGUAGAAACUACUAGUCUGCUUUUGAUGAUCUGUGGUUGACUAGUUGCUUGUUCACAAAGCAUUGAGGCCCUUCUCCUACCUUAGUUCUUGAUUAGCUUUGAAAAGCUUUUUUCUUUUACGACAAUGGUAGAUUUCCUGUUGUCUAUAGAAUUGUGUACUCCAGUCAUUAGCAGAAGGCCGUGUUUGGAAGGUCGUACGUCGACAAAAGUUGUUACAUUGCUAGUGUUACAAUUUGCGAUGCUUACUGAUGUUGUUCUUGAUGAUCAACUAUUUGAUUUUAAGUGGCAAAGAAAUAUUAUUGCCCCCUUUGUGCUUCAAAAGUUUGACAGUAAACUAUCUCUUUAUUCAUUUUGAAAGAUUACUGUGUCGUUGUGUUUUCUAAACACCUUUUUCAGCACGUUUCUUUUUAUAAGUUGUUUUCCUUAUAUUUUGUGAAAGACAUAUAUGAUAAUGUAAAAAAUUAGUUUAAUUAAAAAUUAAGGACAUUUUACCAGUACUAUAAAAAAAGAGCAUCUUUGUCUAAUGUUGAUUACUUAAUAGUUAACAAUAAUUUAUAUCGAA
rnacentral:lncRNA from 1 species